rnacentral:rRNA from 1 species
GACGUAGGGCGCGAGCGUUGUCCGGAUUUAUUGGGCGUAAAGAGCUCGUAGGCGGCUUGUCGCGUCCGUCCGUGAAAACCCACGGCUUAACUGUGGGCUUGCGGUCGGAUACGGGCAGGCUGGAGUUCGGUAGGGGAGACGUGGAAUUCCUGGUGGUAGCGGUGAAAUGCGGCAGAUAUCAGGAGGAACACCAGUAGCGAAGGCGGCACUCUGGGCCGGUACUGACGCUGAGGAGCGAAAGCGUGGGGAGCAAACAGG